GGAGAAGGAGGACAGAUGAUGCUGUGUUCCAGCAGCAUUUCUGUGCUUGGCAAAACAAAAGCUCUGAAGCUAACUGGACCAACGUUUCUGAGAUGACAACUGGGAACCACUCAUUGUCAUCUGUGAAUACACCUGGAGCCUAUUGGUGAAACAAGAUUAAAAAACAGUCUGAGUUCCUGCCCCUUCCUUGGACAUUUCUAAUCAAUCAGCAGCUUUCAGAAGCAUAGCGAUGAUGCUCCUUCCACUGACUUCAGGGCAUGAAAUUCGAGUUUUGGGAACUCUAGUUAAGUGAUUUCCUGGAAUCCCUGCUACUCUGGAUUACAGAUGGAGCUGAGGAUAGGCACCUGGCAAAAGCCAGUGGGGAAGGGUCUUGUUUUAUUCCAUUUUGGUGCUGAGGAGCGAACCAGGUUCCUAUGUAUGGAGAUCAAGCAUUCAACCACUGAGCUCUAUCUCCAGCUGCAGAGAGAAGGAUUUUAUGUGCUAUCCUAUGGAGACUGUCUUGUAGAAAAUGGGACUUUCAGAGGAUUACAGGUGAGAAGAACUUUGAAAGUAGGCUGGGAAAGAUACAUGAACACAGUUAAAGAAAGAUUCAGUUACCUGUGGUCAACAUGGCCCAAAAAAUAUGAAAUGGAAAAUUCCAGGAAAACAUUUCAUAGCUUUUAUACAACUUUUACUGCAGCAUAUCAAUACUGAAGGUCCGACGUCAAAGUUCACAGGCUUGGCUACCCCUGAAGCCUUUCUCCUCGGCUUGGAAAUAGCCACUACUCACUGUGUCCUCAGAGGCUGGGUCCUGUGCUGUGAGCACUUCAGGUGUCUCUGUUCUUACAAGGACAGCAUUCAGGUUUGAUUGGGGCCAAGCUACGAGCCAGCCACCUUUUAACCUAGUUAUCUCCCCACACCUCAUCUGCAAUACACUGGGAAACGGAGUUCGAACAGCAACAUAGGAAUUUGGGGAUUGGGGAACACAGUGCAGCCCAGUGAUUAUUUAUUAUCUCUUAAAGUUGAGGUGGCAUGGGAAUUUGGACGAAGGGGCGACAGAGUUCCUGCUUCCCAAAGUCCGGAGACUCAGCUGAUGGCCUGGAGGCUGGCGACAGAGCCCAGAAGACCUGUUUAUUUAUUUAUUUUUUACUUAAAUUCUUUUAUUGGUACAUUUUAGGUAUACAGUGUGUUUACAUUUAUCAUUGGGUGCUUGUUCCUGUACAUGAUGUAUCUUGGGUCUUAUUUUUUCCCCAUUCGCUGUCCUCCCUUCCCUAUUCACAAAGACAUUGUUUCCAUUUUUUCCUUUUCUCGUAAUUUUUCCUUUCCCUUCUUUCCUUUUCCUUUCCCCUCCCACUUCCCCUACCCCUUUGGACCUCUUCUUAUUAUUUCAAAUUAUCAAUUAUUGGUUUUAAUCAUUUUAAUUCUUAUUUACACUUUUAGUUUCUCACACCAGAGGAACUAUUCAGUAUUUACACAUGUGUGUCCUAUUUAUUUCACUUAAGGGUAUGUCCUCACUAUGCAUCCAUUUAGCUACAAAUGUCUCUAGUUUCUCAUUCUUUAUUUCUGAGUAGCACUCCAUUUUGAAAAAAAACACAUCUUCUUUAUCCAGUUUCCAGUUGAUGGGCACUUGGGCUGUUUCCAAGCUUUAGCUAUUAAAAACUGUGCCGCUAUGAACAUGGGUGCACAUAUAUCGCUGUGGUAUGAUUAUUUUAAUUCUUUUGGGAAGAUCCCCAGCAGUGGAAUAGCUGGGUCAAAUGGGACCUCUAGCCCUAGUUCUUUGAGGUAUCUCCAUACUGAUUUCCACAGUGGUUGCACCAGUCUGCACUCCCACCAACAAUGGAGAAGAGUUCCUUUCUCCCCACACCCCCGCCAGCAUUUGUUAUUGGCUGAUUUCUUGAUAGCAGCCCUCGGAAGACCUGUUUAUGCGUGGUCUGCUUAUGGAUGCUGCUUGUGGGGUGUGACCUGCAGUGGAGCUGUUCCCCCCUCAGUCUCCCCAAGUUCCUUCCACUUCCAGUUGGCCUGGCUGCUGUGUUCUCAAGAGAGGAAACAGAGAUGAAGCCAGGGAGAAGCAAUCUCUUUUUGGAUGAUCUGGUCUCAGAAGACAGGCAGCAUCUUGUCUACUGUCUACCGUUAGAUAAGACAGUUAAAAAUGUGUGCCAAGAUUUAAGGGGAGAGGGCAGAGACCCCACCUGUAGUGGGAAGAAUGUCAGUGGUAGUGUAAGGAAGGCAUGUGAGAUGUGAGAGAGAUUUCUAUUUCUUUAUAUCAAUAUGUAGAUAUUACAUAUGUAAGAAUUAUGUUUAUCAGUUGUAUAAUAUGUACAUAUGCUA
ensembl:lncRNA